AUUCCGGUUGAUCCUGCCGGAGGCCAUUGCUAUCGGAGUUCGAUUUAGCCAUGCUAGUCGUACGGGUUCAGGCCCGUGGCGACAAGCUCAGUAACACGUGGCCAAACUACCCUGUAGACGGAGAUAACCUCGGGAAACUGAGGCUAAUAUCCGAUACAGCUCGCAUGCUGGAGUGCAGCGAGCUGGAAACGUUCCGGCGCUACAGGAUGUGGCUGCGGCCGAUUAGGUAGACGGUGGGGUAACGGCCCACCGUGCCGAUAAUCGGUACGGGUUGUGAGAGCAAGAGCCCGGAGACGGUAUCUGAGACAAGAUACCGGGCCCUACGGGGCGCAGCAGGCGCGAAACCUUUACACUGC
rnacentral:rRNA from 1 species